CAGCAGCCGCGGGAAUACGGAGGGUGCAAGCGUUAUCCGGAUUUAUUGGGUUUAAAGGGUCCGUAGGCGGACUUAUAAGUCAGUGGUGAAAGCCUGUCGCUUAACGAUAGAACUGCCAUUGAUACUGUAAGUCUUGAGUAUAUUUGAGGUAGCUGGAAUAAGUAGUGUAGCGGUGAAAUGCAUAGAUAUUACUUAGAACACCAAUUGCGAAGGCAGGUUACCAAGAUAUAACUGACGCUGAGGGACGAAAGCGUGGGUAGCGAACAGGAUUAGAUACCCCCGUAGUCCCUGUCUCUUAUAA
rnacentral:rRNA from 1 species